rnacentral:rRNA from 1 species
UACAGGGGGUGCAAACGUUGCUCGGAAUCAUUGGGCGUAAAGCGCACGUAGGCGGUUCGUUAUGUCGGAUGUGAAAGCCCUUGGCUUAACCGAGGAAGUGCAUCCGAAACUGGCGAGCUAGAGUACGAAAGAGGAUCGCGGAAUUCCCGGUGUAGAGGUGAAAUUCGUAGAUAUCGGGAGGAACACCGGUGGCGAAGGCGGCGAUCUGGGUCGAUACUGACGCUGAGGUGCGAAAGCGUGGGGGAGCGAACAGG